rnacentral:rRNA from 1 species
GCUUGUCUCAAAGAUUAAGCCAUGCAUGUCUAAGUAUAAGCAAUUAUACAGCGAAACUUGCGAAUGGCUCAUUAUAUAAGUUAUCGUUUAUUUGAUAGUACCUUACUACUUGGAUAACCGUGGUAAUUCUAGAGCUAAUACAUGCUAAAAAUCCCGACUUCGGAAGGGAUGUAUUUAUUAGAUUAAAAACCAAUGCCCUCUGGGCUCCUUGGUGAUUCAUGAUAACUUCUCGAAUCGCAUGGCCUUGCGCCGGCGAUGGUUCAUUCAAAUUUCUUCCCUAUCAACUUUCGAUGUUUGGGUAGUGGCCAAACAUGGUUGCAACGGGUAACGGAGGGUUAGGGCUCGACCCCGGAGAAGGAGCCUGAGAAACGGCUACUACAUCCAAGGAAGGCAGCAGGCGCGCAAAUUACCCAAUCCCGAUUCGGGGAGGUAGUGACAAUAAAUACUGAUACAGGGCUCUUUUGGGUCUUGUAAUUGGAAUGAGUACAAAUUUAAAUCCCUUAACGAGGAACAAUUGGAGGGCAA